CUGGAAAGGGCCCCAAACUGCCUGAACUGGGUGAUUUUUGCAUAAAGGAAGGCUGGAAGAUGGAGGGGAACCUCCGUGGACCCCGCCGCCACCUCGGAGAAGAACCCUGGUUGGGGAGCUUUUUCUGAAAGAGAGGGAUGUUCUCAUCAUACUGCCAAACCUAGAAGGGAGCGCACCGUGAGAAAAUCAGAAACGCUUCUUUUUGGCUCCAAACAUCUGUGGAGCCAGACAACUUGGGAGAUGGCAGCUGAGAACUUCCAAACUUCCACCAGCUGACUUCAGAAGUUCAGAACACAAAGGAGUUCAGCUGAAGGCCACAACAGUGCAUCAUGCUGCUACCAGGGUUGGCAACCCUUCAGGAUUGGUCUGGAGCCCCCAGGCAUUGGCAUCGGCUAUGUCCCCUGCUAACUGAGCAAAGAGGCACCAUUUUAAAGUGGCAAUUCUCUUUAUUUAUCAGGGGGAGAGCAACUGGCCCUAUCCAUCCCUAGCACAACAUCCCUCCAAUGGAUGUUGCUGGUGUCUAUCUUAUGUUUCUUGUUUAGAUUGUGAGCCCUUUGGGGACAGUUCACUUUGGGAACUUUUGUUGAAAAUGUUAUAUAAAUAUUUGUCAUAUUUG